UACCAGCACCCCGAGUGGUCGGGACGAUUAUUGGGCCUAAAGCAUCCGUAGCCGGCCUUACAAGUCCUCCGUUAAAUCCAGCGGCUUAACAGAUGGGCUGCGGAGGAUACUAUAAGACUAGGAGGCAGGAGAGGCAAGCGGUACUCAGUGGGUAGGGGUAAAAUCCGUUGAUCCAUUGAAGACCACCAGUGGCGAAGGCGGCUUGCCAGAAUGCGCUCGACGGUGAGGGAUGAAAGCUGGGGGAGCAAACCGG
rnacentral:rRNA from 1 species